UACCACCUCUUCCCAUUCCGAACAGAGAAGUUAAAACCGCGCGCGCCGAUGGUACUGCGUCUAAAGCGUGGGAGAGUAGGUCGUCGCCGCCC
rnacentral:rRNA from 1 species